UUAGAAAGUUUGACCACUCUGAACACACCCUAUCUCGGAAGCUAAGCAGGGUCGGGCCUGGUUAAUACUUGGAUGGGAGCAAGUUUGCUGUGGACACUGCAUGUGAUGCCCACAGCAGCCUCAG
rnacentral:rRNA from 1 species